GCGGAUGUCAGCGCCAUCUUGUAAUGGCGAAUGUGAGUGCGGCUCCUCACACCAAAUGACAUAAAGUAUACUCUUCCUGGCGGCUGAAUGCAGGUCUUCAAUAGGAGAGUUUGAAAAUGGAAAAGGAGAAUUCAAAUCAAUUGUUGCACAGCCUCACUCGUGGAGGAAGUUUAUUCUCAUGAAACAGGGGAACAUCCCAUUCUGCUUCCCUAAAUACCUUCCAGGAACCUGUUUGGAAAGGCAGGGGGAAGGCCGGGGGACUGCACGCGCUCAGUCUGUCUUUACAGAAGAAAGCAUCCUCGAUACCAAGUCUCUUCAGCAUCUGCUCCCAGCAGUCUGCAAACAGAACACUUUACCCAUAGAAGUGGAUGGGUCCCUUUUUCUCUGCACAUGCCCUGUUUCUGAGAGGUCCUGCAGAUUUGGCUUUGUCUGGUCCUAGUUGAGCAGCGAGUAAGCACUAGAUGAAUUUUCCACGGAUGAACUGGUUGUUUCUGGGGUGGAAACGUUAUACGUUCCUGCAAAAAAAAAAAAGCCAAAGCAGCAAUUUCAGCCUCCGAGACAAGGUUUCAUGCACAUUGGGGUGCAAAAUCUUCUAAGGAACUUAGAUGAGCUCUGGUCCAGCAGCCAUGCCUGGGAACCAACCCAGGCCUGCCCUCCUCCCUAACCCAGCGUGCCAGAGAACAAACGACAGAAGUCCUCAAGCAUGCAUGGCAGCCACCAAGCACUAACUACUCCACAACACACCGGCAGCCAGAUUUCCACACAGGACAGGGAGACAUCGCCGUGGGCAGCCUCUCCCUAAGCGUCUACAUGCAUGGACCUGGGAAAUUCUGCACGAGGAACCCUUCCUGGUCCCCUUGUUUAUCUUGACUUGGGGAAGUCUGCAGGAGGAGCUAACCAUUGAGCAGAAGGUCCAUGAAGGGAGGACAAGGAAAGAGAAGAACGACUAAAGGGAGAAAGAGGCAGGGUGGGGAUGAGCGACAGAUACCAACAGAAGUACCAAGGACCAGCACAGCGGGAAGGACAGCUGGUGGGACUGCUCAGCUUUAUGUGGGCAGACGGCAGGCACUGUGCGCGAAGAAGAUACAGCACAAAUGCUGGGAGAGGGAAGGGUCGAAGUGACUACCCUACCAUCAGGAUGAUGAACUGCCACUGCUAACAGGGUUUCCAUCAUUGCUUGGGGGGACCUUUGGGGUUGCUGACAACAUAAACCAAAGUUACAGUAAUUAGCCCUCCCCCCACAAAAAUACCUUAUCCAGAGCAGGGCUGUACUGAUGACCCAUGCAAGAGUGUCCAACAGCAUUGACCAAGAAUCACCAAGAAUCUCAGGCCCUGACACCCCAGGAACAAAGCCCACCUCCCAACUUAGACCCGGAUUGUUCACAAAUAGAGUGUAUUCUAUUGGCCUCAUAUCUUGCCAAGUUCAGAUUCAGUGGAUUAGUUAACAAUUUCUGCUGACUUCAUUGGAAAUGCUAAAUGUGCAUGAAGUCCAGUCAUUCUAGUAUUCCGGAGACUUGGUCAUUUCAUGCAAGGCCAGGUAGAACUUAUGAUUAUCCAAUAGAAUAACUUGGACAAUGCAUCAUGUAAGCAUACCCAGUUUGUAAAUGUCAAUGUAUAGAAAAACAAAAACAAAAACCAUGCUCUAUAAGUGGGAGGAACAAUACUGAAGUGACUCCUAUAAUCAAAAUUUCCACAUUUAUUCUUUGAGUAACACAGAAAAUUGAUGUCUCUACUAUUAACAAGAUAAAAAGAAAUCUGUGUUGGACAAGCCAAGAACUUGCAGAUACUAUUUAUAUUUGAUAGACAGAUCUCUGAGGCUUGUCAAGACUCCAAAAAUCUUCAUGAGUUUACAUUAGUUGCCCACUUAGAGUAGCUGCCUGGUGGCUUGUGAACAUAUGAGCAAAUUCCUGGAUUCAGUCUCUAACCUAAACAGAGUUGUUCAGUUCCUUCCAUGAACUGGGGGGGGGUGGAAGUAGGGGUGAUAGUUCAGGGCCAGUCUGAUCUGGUCCACCUGGGAGUACCUAGUAGUCACUACAUACCUGUUUUACCAAAAAGAUUAUUAAAUCUUCUGGAUAUUGGAGAGCUCAUAGAAAACACGGGUGUAGAUGAGCCUAGGGAUGUUGACUAGAAGAGAGAAGGAAAAAGACAGUCACAAAGCAAGUCCAGGAGAACAGGACUAUUUGGACUCUGGGUUGGGGGCGGGGUUGGCUAGAUGCCUUCUAGCGGUCACUUGUAGGGGGACAUGCUGACCACGCCUGCUUGGGGUCUGGCACAGGUGACACUGUCCAUGGGGGCAUGGACAGAGUGACAUAGCAAGGCUUUAAAUAUCAGAGACCCAUGCAUGUGGCCCUUUUUUCCCUGCUCCCGCCUGGCUGUACAGGACUGGCUCCGUGAGUACUUCCUAAUAAACUAUCUGUUUUCAAACUAGUUGCCACUCCACUGCAAUCUGCAUACAUUGAGCUCCACUUUAGUCACUUUCCUAUGUCUCUAAGCCUAUCCCUUAGGUCGAGUGGUGCGCUCUGAGCUGAAUAAAUAGUUUGCAAAUAUAUAUGAGUUAUGUUCUCCUUCCCUCCUCCCCUUCACCCUCCAUCCUUUCCCCUCCCUCCCUCCCUCCCUCCC